UCCCUCCCAGUCCCUCCCAGUACCUCUGCACCAGCACGGCGAGCCGCGGGGGGGGGAUUUGGAAAAGCAGCUGCUGCAGGAGCCGGGGGGGGGAGUGCAGGAGCCGCUCCAGCAUCUGGAACGUGCGGAAGUGGUCGCGGGUAUCGCUCUGCAGCACCGCCACCGACGUCCCCGCCCGCUCCAGGACCCCCCCCUGAAGGCGGCGGGACACGGCCUCGGCCACUGCGGGGUCACACGGGGUCAGACGUGGGGUCAGACGGGGUCAUAUGGGGUCAGUGGGGUUGGGGGGAGAUGGGGCUCCAGGACCCCCCCCUGCUGGCGGCGGGACACGGCCUCGGUCACUGCGGGGUCAGACAGGGUCACAUGGGGUCAGAUGUGGGGUCAGGCGGGGUCAUUGGGGCCAUACGGGGUCACUGGGGUCAUAUGGGGUCAUAUGGGGUCGGGGGGGUCACAGGGAUAUGGGGGUCUGUGGGGUUGGGGGGCAGAUGGGGCUCCAGGACCCCCCCCUGCAGGCGGCGGGACACAGCCUCGGCCACUGCGGGGUCAUAUGGGGUCAGACGUGGGGUCAGACGGGGUCAUUGGGGUCAUAUGGGGUCAUAUGGGGUCGGGGGGGUCACAGGGAUAUGGGGGUCAGUGGGGUUGGGGGGGGGGCAAAUGGGGCUCCAGGACCCCCCCCCUGCAGGCGGCGGGACACAGCCUCGGUCACUGCGGGGUCACACGGGGUCAGACGUGGGGUCAGACGGGGUCACUGGGGUCAGACGGGGUCAUAUGGGGUCA
rnacentral:lncRNA from 1 species